rnacentral:rRNA from 1 species
GACGAACGCUGGCGGCGUGCUUAACACAUGCAAGUCGAACGGAAAGGCCCUGCUUUUGUGGGGUGCUCGAGUGGCGAACGGGUGAGUAACACGUGAGUAACCUGCCCUUGACUUUGGGAUAACUUCAGGAAACUGGGGCUAAUACCGGAUAGGAGCUCCUGCUGCAUGGUGGGGGUUGGAAAGUUUCGGCGGUUGGGGAUGGACUCGCGGCUUAUCAGCUUGUUGGUGGGGUAGUGGCUUACCAAGGCUUUGACGGGUAGCCGGCCUGAGAGGGUGACCGGCCACAUUGGGACUGAGAUACGGCCCAGACUCCUACGGGAGGCAGCAGUGGGGAAUAUUGCACAAUGGGCGGAAGCCUGAUGCAGCAACGCCGCGUGCGGGAUGACGGCCUUCGGGUUGUAAACCGCUUUCGCCUGUGACGAAGCGUGAGUGGCGGUAAUGGGUAAAGGAGCACCGGCUAACUACGUG